rnacentral:sRNA from 1 species
UAAUUUCUCUGGCCCGCGGGUAAGCGA